GUCGGGUUGGGAACAAAGUGGUUAACCCGGCCCCCGAUCACGGCCAGGGUGCGCUUGCCCUGUGUGACCAUCUGCACACCCCGAGUCUUGAACGCCUU
rnacentral:sRNA from 1 species